CAUUAGACAUCAGCAAGACUUAUGUGUAUGUGUGGUCCACAGAAGUGAAGUAACUUUUCUACAGUCACCAGCAACUUUAAACCACAGACUGGCUGCUAGGGCUCUUCUUGGAGCAGACAAUGACUCUUCAGUCAACAGCCCUCGGGGGUCUACACCAUUAAGAACCUCAUUUAGUUUUCUGGAGAGGAACUCAAAGAUGAGGCGGCAUCUUUCAGCACCCGACUUCCUGAACCUGUCAACCAACAAAGAUCGACUUUAAGAAUAAACUUCUGAGAGCAGCUAAGGCUCUGGAGUAU
rnacentral:lncRNA from 1 species